rnacentral:rRNA from 1 species
UGGGAGGUAAAUUUCUCCUAAGGCUAAAUAACGGCGAGAGACCGAUAGCGAACAAGUACCGUGAGGGAAAGAUGAAAAGAACUUUGAAAAGAGAGUUAAACAGUACGUGAAAUUGUUGAAAGGGAAACGAUUGAAGCCAGUCGUACCUAUGGGUAAUCAGCCUUUUGGGUGUGAUUUUGUGGAGCGUGAAGAGUUAAACGCCUUCAUGCCUGCAUAUUCGUGCACUUUGGGUGUACUUGCCCGUGUGUAAGUUAACAUCAAUUUUGGUGGUCAUAAAAUGGCUGGAGGAAUGUAGCUUCGAUCUUGUAUUGAAGUGUUAUAGCCUUCGGUAGAUGUGACGAUCGGGAUUGAGGAUUGCAACGGAUACCCUUCGGGGCUACCUAUCUGAUCUCUGAUCGUUGCUCUGGUGCCGAAAGCUUGCUUACGGUUAUCAAAGUCGAUGGUCAAUAGGUUAGAAUGGGUUAAAUUCGUUAAGGAUGUUGACGUAAUGGCUUUAAACGACCCGUCUUGAAACACGGACCGAGGAGUCUAACAUAUAUGCGAGUGUUAGGGUGAUUAAACCCUUACGCGUAAUGAAAGUAAUUUUGGUGGGAUCACUUUUGUGCACCAUCGACC